rnacentral:rRNA from 1 species
AUUGAACGCUGGCGGCAGGCCUAACACAUGCAAGUCGAGCGGAUGAAGGGAUCUUGCUCCUGGAUUCAGCGGCGGACGGGUGAGUAAUGCCUAGGAAUCUGCCUGGUAGUGGGGGAUAACGUCCGGAAACGGGCGCUAAUACCGCAUACGUCCUGAGGGAGAAAGUGGGGGAUCUUCGGACCCCACGCUAUCAGAUGAGCCUAGGUCGGAUUAGCUAGUUGGUGGGGUAAAGGCCUACCAAGGCGACGAUCCGUAACUGGUCUGAGAGGAUGAUCAGUCACACUGGAACUGAGACACGGUCCAGACUCCUACGGGAGGCAGCAGUGGGGAAUAUUGGACAAUGGGCGAAAGCCUGAUCCAGCCAUGCCGCGUGUGUGAAGAAGGUCUUCGGAUUGUAAAGCACUUUAAGUUGGGAGGAAGGGCAGUAAGUUAAUACCUUGCUGUUUUGACGUUACCAACAGAAUAAGCACCGGCUAACUUCGUG